CCUACGGGGGGCUGCAGUGAGGAAUAUUGGUCAAUGGACGCAAGUCUGAACCAGCCAUGCCGCGUGCAGGAAGACGGCUCUAUGAGUUGUAAACUGCUUUUGUACGAGGGUAAACGCAGAUACGCGUAUCUGUCUGAAAGUAUCGUACGAAUAAGGAUCGGCUAACUCCGUGCCAGCAGCCGCGGUAAUACGGAGGAUUCAAGCGUUAUCCGGAUUUAAUGGGUUUAAAGGGUGCGUAGGCGGUCGGAUAAGUUAGAGGUGAAAUCCCGAGGCUCAACUUCGGAAUUGCCUCUGAUACGGUUCGGCUAGAGAGUAGUUGCGGUAGGCGGAAUGUAUGGUGUAGCGGUGAAAUGCUUAGAGAUCAUACAGAACACCGAUUGCGAAGGCAGCUUACCAAGCUACUUCUGACGUUGAGGCACGAAAGCGUGGGGAGCAAACAGGAUUAGAUACCCUUGUAGUC
rnacentral:rRNA from 1 species